AACGCACAUUGCGCCCCCUGGUAUUCCGGGGGGCACACCUGUUCGAGCGCCAUUUCAACCCUGGAGCCCUGCUCUGUGAUGGGCCCCGUCCUCAGGGACGGGCCCGAAACCCGUGGGCGCCUCCGUAAGGCCCUGAGCGUAGCAAGAGAAAUCCCUCGCUCGGAGUGCCCUAUAGCGGCCGCCCCGAACCAUCUUAAAAGGUUGGCCUCGGAUCAGGUGGGGAUACCCGCUGAACUUAAGCAUAUCAAUAAGCGGAGGACUCAGAGUUGUCACACGUCACUGUGAGUCAUCGAGUCUUUGAACGCACAUUGCGCCCCCUGGUAUUCCGGGGGGCACACCUGUUCGAGCGCCAUUUCAACCCUGGAGCCCUGCUCUGCGAUGGGCCCCGUCCUCAGGGACGGGCCCGAAACCCGUGGGCGCCUCCGUAAGGCCCUGAGCGUAGCAAGAGAAAUCCCUCGCUCGGAGUGCCCUAUGGCGGCCGCCCCGAACCAUCUCAAAAGGUUGGCCUCGGAUCAGGUGGGGAUACCCGCUGAACUUAA
rnacentral:misc_RNA from 1 species